rnacentral:rRNA from 1 species
CCUACGGGAGGCAGCAGUGAGGAAUAUUGGUCAAUGGGCUUACGCCUGAACCAGCCAAGUCGCGUGAGGGAAGACUGCCCUAUGGUUUGUAAACCUCUUUUGUCAGGGAGCAACGCCGGCUACGUGUAGCCGGACUGAGAGUACCUGAAGAAAAAGCAUCCGCUAACUCCGUGCCAGCAGCCGCGGUAAUACGUAGGUGGCGAGCGUUAUCCGGAAUGAUUGGGCGUAAAGGGUGCGCAGGCGGUCCUGCAAGUCUUGAGUGAAACGCAUGUGCUCAACUCAUGCAUGGCUUUGGAAACUGGAUGACUGGAGAGAAGGAGAGGGCGGUGGAAUUCCAUGUGUAGCGGUAAAAUGCGUAGAUAUAUGGAAGAACACCAGUGGCGAAGGCGGCCGCCUGGCCUGUUGCUGACGCUGAGGCACGAAAGCGUGGGGAGCAAAUAGGAUUAGAUACCCGAGUAGUC